GAGGAAAGACACUAUUCCUCUUCUCUUUCCUAGGACUUGUGAUACAGUGUACACCCCACUAAUGAAUUUAGAGAGGAUAAUUUGGCCAACACAUGAUGAAGACAGUGAGGCCUCUCUUGAAGACACAUGUAGGCUCACCGGAUUCCUUCGCACCUUCAUCGGAAAUUUUUCUUAUAAUAUCUUGUGGUUUCUAAUAAAAUUCUGGACUGGAUGGGAUGUGCUGCCCAGGAGCCUAGACGUUGAGGUGGUGGAUGGAAACCUACCCAAGUCUUCCACAUGCUAUCAAACUCUCAAGCUUCCUAGUCAUUACAAGGACUAUGCUGCCUUUGAGAGAGAUAUUUUAGCUGCUAUUUGGAGCUCAGAUUAUGGAUUUGGAAUGGUCUAAGUUUGUGUUACAAAUAAUAUCAGAUGCCAUAUUUCUACUGGAGUUAGUGUUUAAUUUUUCUACAUUUUUCAUGUCUAAAUCGGAUAUUCAGUCAGAAGAUCUCAAACCUGUUUGGUAUGUUGC